AUUGAACGCUGGCGGCAUGCCUUACACAUGCAAGUCGAACGGCAGCGCGGGGCAACCUGGCGGCGAGUGGCGAACGGGUGAGUAAUAUAUCGGAACAUACCCUAGAGUGGGGGAUAACGUAGCGAAAGUUACGCUAAUACCGCAUACGCACUAAGGUGGAAAGUGGGGGAUUCGCAAGAACCUCAUGCUCAUGGAGUGGCCGAUAUCUGAUUAGCUAGUUGGUGAGGUAAAGGCUCACCAAGGCAACGAUCAGUAGCUGGUUUGAGAGAACGACCAGCCACACUGGAACUGAGACACGGUCCAGACUCCUACGGGAGGCAGCAGUGGGGAAUUUUGGACAAUGGGGGCAACCCUGAUCCAGCAAUGCCGCGUGAGUGAAGAAGGCCUUCGGGUU
rnacentral:rRNA from 1 species